rnacentral:lncRNA from 1 species
AUGUUUGAUUGUCACAGCAAUGGCCCUUGGGGACACCGCGAUGUCACCACAUUGUCACCGAGGUGGCCUUUGGGGACACCGCAUUGUCCUGGUGGUGGCUCCUUGGGGACACCUCAGUGCCACUGCGGUGGCCUUUGGGGACAUCAGCCCCAUGGUGGCUCCUCGGGGACACCACUGUCACCAUGGUGCCCUUUGGGGACACCUCAUUGUCACUGUGGUGACCCUUGGGGACACCUCAAUGCCACCAUGGUGGCUCCUUGGGGACACCACUGUCACCACAGUGGCCCUUGGGGACACGUUGUGCUGGUGGCGGCUCCUUGGGGACAUCCCAGUGUCACCGUGGUGGCCUUUGGAGACACCACUGUCACCUCGAUGGCUCCUUGGGGACAUCUCAGUGCCACCGUGGUGGCCCCUGGGGACACGUUGUCCUUGUGGUGGCCCUUGAGGACAGCAUCGUGCCACUGUGGUGGCUCCUUGGGGACAUCUCAGUGUCACUGUGGUGGCUCCUUGGGGACAGCACCGUGUGCCCACAGUCUGUCCUGGUGUCACCUGGUGUCCCCUGGUGCCAUCCCGGUGCCACCUGUCCAUGUCCUGGUGCCACCUGGUGCCAUUUUGGUGUCACCUGUGCCAUCCUGGUGCCAUCCUGGUGUCACCUGCUGCCAUUUUGGUGUCACCUGCUGCCAUCCCAGUGUCACCUGUCCAUCUUGGUGCCAUCUUGGUGCCAUUUCGGUGUCGCCUGGCCACGUCCUGGGCCACCCUGAUGUCACCUGGUGCCAUCUUGGCUCCAUUUUGGUGUCACCUGGUUCCAUUUGGUGUCACCUGGUGCCAUCCCAGUGUCACCUGUCCAUCCCAGUGUCCCCUGGUGCCAUUUUGG